ensembl:lncRNA
GCCGCGGGCAGGGCUCCGACCCGGCGCCUUUGUCUCGCCCGGGCUGCUCGGGCGCCGGGCCUCCUGCUCCGGGCGCGCGGGGUCGGCCGGCCGCCUUCACUGCUCCGCCGCGGUUCUCGGCGCAGCUCAGCGCGGCGGGCCCGCUCGGGCUCAGGUGCCCCCGCUCUCCGGACCUUCUCGCCCGGCCCCGCGUCCCCUCCGCGGGCUUCCCCCGGCGGCCGGCCGGGCUCGGAGGCUCGCGGCCGGAGCGGAGCGGAGUGCGCACGCCGGGGUGGCAGGACUUCGGCAAGACCAACUUUCCGGUUCGGAAGCGGCGCGGGCCGCGCGGCUCCUCCCCUCCUUUCCCUCCCCUGCGUGCCCCCUCCCUUUCACUCCCUCCUCUCCCCGCCCCCCAUCCCGCGGGCCCCACCGACUCCGGAGCGCCCGCCCCGCCCGCUGCCGCCACCGGGGCCGCCUCGCCCCCGCGCCAGCCCGCCGGAGCCUCUGCGCCGCCGUCGGCUUCUUAAAUGCAGGAAAGGGAGGGGACCGCAGGACCCCGGUGUCCCCACCCUAGUCCCCCUUCCCCACGGGCCUCCGGGCGCCAGCGGAGUGGGCAGCGAGCGCGACCGAAAGUUCCAACUCCACCAAAGUCCUGCGCGCGGCCCACCCCGUUCCCGGAUUUCGGGGAUGACACGGGGGCCAGGUGUGGACCUGGGGAGGAUCUUCUAAGUCCCUCCAGCGAAGGCAAGUGUGAGACUCUGGCCCUUUAUUUGUAAGAAGCAAGCCUUCAGACUGCAGAAGUGUCGCGCGGGUCGCCGUGCGUUGCGCGAGUGGGAAGAUGGAGGAGGCUGGCACGGUGCUUUCGUGGACGCAAGUGAACCGGGCGUGAAGGCAGGGUGCAAGCUCUGCCCUUGGCCCAGCCCGGCGUGGGUGCCGUCCCAGAUUCCGGGCGGUGCGGGGUGCAGAGAUCUGGAGAGAGUUGCGGGCUCCCCAGCGCAGGCUGCUCUGGGAUUUCGUUGGAAGAUCCGGUAGAGCCUUGGAGGAGAGGGCCGGGGAGGCUGUGUGUGCAGCGGAAGCUUGUACGAAUGCCCCCACAGCUGAAAUGGUGCGCACGAGUAAUUUCUGCGGCGCACCCUUUUAAACAUUGACUGAAGUGAACAAGAUCAAUUUUUUAAAAAAGCAAAAGUAGAAAAUAAAAGGCGUGAGACUUCUUGACUGGCUUGUUCCCGCCUUUCUUCCUUCCCUAUACUCAGAUCAGAAACUUUAAUUGCUCUUAUUCAGUGCGACAACUUUUAAUAAAAGCGUUUGCAUCUUAAGCCCGAGUUGCAACCAUAGAUUUAUUGCGAAGUGACAACGUGUCCACGGAAUAUUUUCGCAGAUGACACAGGACGUGCGCUCUGGUCCUGCCCAGAUUAAAGGGACGCUGGGCCAUGUGCCUGUGUGGGUGUAGACUCGGAGGGGCACACACCUACUCGUCAUCACAUGACCACUGUCUAUUAAUAUUGUCAUACCUAAACACUCGCAAAAACAAAGUUGCUUUUCUUCCCUGUAAUUAAAUCUAAUUUGUUAAUUGUCUUUCCUCUUGCAAUGUUGUUUUCAUCUUAAGAGGUGACACAUUAUUAUUUUGUCUGUCUAAUAUUAUUUACAAAUUAAUGCUGUAUAUUUUACAUUAGUGAAACAUAUAAUUAGGUGUUUGGUUCAAUCGGUAACAUUCAGAUAAACAAAGCCUAUCUGCAAGAUUGAUUGGAAGUGGAAUAGUUGGUUCUAAUUUACCAUCACAGUCACAGUUUAUUGAAGCUACCUGGCCCCAGAUUCACAGAAGCUAGUUUUACCUAAGGUGCAUUUGAAGCUUUGUUUACAAGUAUUUUCCCCAACCACUUAAUGCAAAAAAAAAAAAAGGUCAAAUAUUAGGGCUUUAAUUUUCUGUCUUCUUUCACUGCUCCCCCCACCCAAAGUUCCUUUCUUCUAUUCUCUGGCCACCUCUCUCCCUCUCUCUGGUUCCUCCCCCACCCC